UAACCGUAGCUGAGAAGCUGCGCUGAACCGGCAGGAGUCAGCAGAGGCCAUAGUACGAAAAGGGUUGCAACCCUUUACGGAAGGGC
rnacentral:ncRNA from 1 species